rnacentral:lncRNA from 1 species
UGUGUGAGGCCCUUUUGUCCCAUCGGAGGAGAAAAGGAGCACGGACAGAGCAGGUCUGUCUCAGAGGGGAGACUCACGUCCCCCCGGCCCGGAGAUGCAGCAGGACAAGUGAAGUCAGGGCGGUCACUGGGAAAACGCUUUUCUCUCUGCUAUGGACUCAACCUGCAGCAGCUGACCUUUUACCGAGCGGAGAGGAUCGUGAGGACCGGACACUGGAGCAGCUCACUCAGUGCCCCUGAGGGCUGAUUCACGUAGGUCACACCAGCAGACGAA